UGAGCAUGCCUGUCGGGACC
rnacentral:sRNA from 1 species